rnacentral:piRNA from 1 species
CCACAACUGUGUAUAUUUUAAAGC